GAUGAACGCUGGCGGCGUGCUUAACACAUGCAAGUCGAACGGUGAAGCAGAGCUUGCUCUGUGGAUCAGUGGCGAACGGGUGAGUAACACGUGAGCAACCUGCCCCGGACUCUGGGAUAAGCGCUGGAAACGGCGUCUAAUACUGGAUAUGAGCAGCGGAGGCAUCUCCAGCUGCUGGAAAGAUUUUUUGGUCUGGGAUGGGCUCGCGGCCUAUCAGCUUGUUGGUGAGGUAAUGGCUCACCAAGGCGUCGACGGGUAGCCGGCCUGAGAGGGUGACCGGCCACACUGGGACUGAGACACGGCCCAGACUCCUACGGGAGGCAGCAGUGGGGAAUAUUGCACAAUGGGCGGAAGCCUGAUGCAGCAACGCCGCGUGAGGGACGACGGCCUUCGGGUUGUAAACCUCUUUUAGCAAGGAAGAAGCGAAAGUGACGGUACUUGCAGAAAAAGCGCCGGCUAACUACGUGCCAGCAGCCGCGGUAACAC
rnacentral:rRNA from 1 species